AGAGUUUGAUCCUGGCUCAGAUUGAACGCUGGCGGUAUGCUUAACACAUGCAAGUCGAACGGAAACGAAACUAGCUUGCUAGUAGGCGUCGAGUGGCGGACGGGUGAGUAACGCGUAGGAAUCUGCCUGAUAGUGGGGGAUAGCCCGAAGAAAUUCGGAUUAAUACCGCAUAAUCUAUUCGUAGUAAAGUGGGGGACUUUCGAGCCUCACGCUAUCAGAUGAGCCUGCGUAAGAUUAGCUUGUUGGUAGGGUAAAAGCCUACCAAGGCAACGAUCUUUAGCUGGUCUGAGAGGAUGAUCAGCCACAUCGGGACUGAGACACGGCCCGAACUCCUACGGGAGGCAGCAGUGGGGAAUAUUGGACAAUGGGGGCAACCCUGAUCCAGCAAUACCGCGUGUGUGAAGAAGGCCUGAGGGUUGUAAAGCACUUUCAAUUGUGAAGAAAAGUCAACGGUUAAUAACCGUUGACCUUGACGUUAACUUUAGAAGAAGCACCGGCUAACUCCGUGCCAGCAGCCGCGGUAAUACGGAGGGUGCAAGCGUUAAUCGGAAUUACUGGGCGUAAAGCGUGCGUAGGCGGUUUAUUAAGUCAGAUGUGAAAGCCCCGGGCUUAACCUGGGAACUGCAUUUGAAACUGGUCAACUAGAGUAUGGUAGAGGAAAGUGGAAUUUCUGGUGUAGCGGUGAAAUGCGUAGAUAUCAGAAGGAACAUCAAUGGCGAAGGCAGCUUUCUGGACCAAUACUGACGCUGAGGUACGAAAGCGUGGGUAGCAAACAGGAUUAGAUACCCUGGUAGUCCACGCCGUAAACGAUGAUAACUAGCCGUUGGGGGGAUUUACCCCUUAGUGGCGAAGCUAACGCGUUAAGUUAUCCGCCUGGGGAGUACGGCCGCAAGGCUAAAACUCAAAGGAAUUGACGGGGACCCGCACAAGCGGUGGAGCAUGUGGUUUAAUUCGAUGCAACGCGAAGAACCUUACCUGGUCUUGACAUCCUGCGAACUUUCUAGAAAUAGAUUGGUGCCUUCGGGAACGCAGUGACAGGUGCUGCAUGGCUGUCGUCAGCUCGUGUCGUGAGAUGUUGGGUUAAGUCCCGUAACGAGCGCAACCCCUAUCCUUAUUUGCCAGCACAUUAUGGUGGGAACUAUAAGGAGACUGCCGGUGAUAAACCGGAGGAAGGCGGGGACGACGUCAAGUCAUCAUGGCCCUUACGACCAGGGCUACACACGUGCUACAAUGGGAAGGACAAAGAGCCGCGAAGCCGCGAGGUGUAGCUAAUCUCAUAAAUCUUUUCGUAGUCCGGAUUGGAGUCUGCAACUCGACUCCAUGAAGUCGGAAUCGCUAGUAAUCGUAGAUCAGAAUGCUACGGUGAAUACGUUCCCGGGUCUUGUACACACCGCCCGUCAUACCAUGGGAGUGGGUUGCACCAGAAGUGACUAGUCUAACUUUGUGAGGACGGUCACCACGGUGUGAUUCAUGACUGGGGUAAAGUCGUAACAAGGUAACC
rnacentral:rRNA from 1 species